GGAGAGAAGAUGAUAAAGAUGGGCAUUAUGUAUUUGCAGUGGGAGAAAAUUUAACUUCACGCUAUAAAAUUUACAGCAAAAUGGGUGAAGGUACUUUUGGUCAAGUUUUAGAGUGCUGGGACAGGGACAGAAGAGAGAUGGUAGCAAUUAAGGUUAUUCGAAGCAUAAAAAAGUACCGGGAAGCUGCUAUGAUAGAGAUUGAUGUGC
rnacentral:misc_RNA from 1 species